CCCAUUUCCUCCUUGCUUCACCCCGUGAACACAACUGCUUCUCUUCAGCAGCCCCAAAUGGAAAUUAUUCAGGAGUGUCACAGCCACAGAGGGGCACAUCAACCUGAUACAAGAGAAAUGGAGCGAGGAGAGGUUAAAUCACAGAAUUUGGAAAGAAAAAGGGCAUCCAACAGCCUUAAAGAUGAAGAAAUGGAAGCUCCAGAGUUGAAGAAAUGUGUCUUCACUCCCACAAGUAAUCUUGAAGUUCCGAGCCACCAUGAGAGUUUUCCUGACACUGAGGUAAUUUCCUACCAUGUUGACACCACCUUGCGCCAGUGUUCAAGACCAUCACAGCUAUGAACCUUGUUGGCUUGUAUCAGAUGCCUGCUGGGACCUUGGCUGCCCAUAGUGCUCUCUAAAGACUCCAGCUUUCCAUAACUCCUACAGUUUUAAGUUCAAGGAAUGAUGAAGAGGACGCCAAUGUACGGAUUUGAUUUACCAAAUCAGGCCUGUACAGCAGCUGAAUCAACCUAUGGGAAAAUUUUGGCUCUCUUUAACAUUCUAAUUUUUGAGAACACCAUUGCAAAUACAUGAUUUCCAAAAUAAUAACAAUGCACUUAAUUAAUCACAUUAUAGAUCAUCAUAUAAAAAUAAAUACCUAAAUAGAAAUACAAUUUAUUUUUUUCUUAAAUUCCAAAUUGCAUAGAGCUGCCUCCUCUGCAGUUUUCCAUCACUGCCUCCUUCUCAGACUUCUCCUUUUGUUUUUUCAUUUCUUUGUACAGACUCCAGUCAUUUGUUUAAAUAUUCAUACUCAACCAGAAUACGUUUCCUAAUGUGGGAAUCAUUGCUUAUUCACAGGCACAGCCCUUGACAUCCUGAAAACAUGUAGUAAUGAUUUUUGGAAUAAAGGUUUGACACUUCUACAUUUACAUGUAAAUGGAGUUAAAAAAUUCUAGGUUGAGAAUAAGAAUACUAUAAAAAUUUUGAUCUAAAAUGGAUGUUAGAGAUAACCCAGCGCAACCAGUUGCUCUUACAAUUGAGGAAACUGAGGUCAAGAAUGAGUGAGUGGCUCAGAGUCACCCAGCUCAUUAGAGCCUGAAUGAACCACCUUGGUUCACUACCUCUGUUCACCGCCCUUUCUAGUGCACUUCAUGAAAUCACUCUCUAAGUACACAUCAACUCAUUUAGAUACUUAAAUGAUUCUUGAGAAAGUAGAAAGUAUAAAUGCCUUGACCACACAUAAGAACUUUGACAUAUUUCACUCUCUGUACUGAAAUUUCUAACAAUGCCUGGUACAUAAUAGGUAUUCAGUUGAUUUGGGUUUCUACAUCCCUUUUCUCCUUCUCUUCUUCAAGUUUGCAUGUAAACCACAUUAAAGACUGCUAAUAUAUAAAGUAGGCACCAUCUCAUGAAUCAAAGAGGGGAUUCCUAGAGCCACUGAGGAUGUCUUUAGAAGCCAGUGGUGCUGAUCCCACAGCUACUCUCCUGUGGACAGUGGAAGUGCUCCCCAAAGUACAUUCUUAGGGGAAAUGGGGCUGCCGCCAUGAGGAGGUGUCAAUAGAGAUUAGAGAUGGUCUUUGUGCUGUGAGAGAGACCUCACAUUUCCAAAUGCCAAGUCCUUUCUUCCUCAGUCAAAUGUACCCCCUAGAACAUAGAUACCUACUAAGCUGUAGAUUUUUGAGGGGAUACAGAGCUGAAUCCAUAAGAUAGUGGAUUAUUCAGAUAAGAAUUUCUGUAGAUAGAGAGUUUCCAAUCAAUUAUGUACCCCAACAAUGUGAGGUCAACUACUUAGACUACCUCUUAGCUUCUACAUUUAGAUGUUUCAAAGUCUGUUCUGAUCCUUAAAUUUGACACUUCUCUUUAAUAUAAACAAAGCCCUUUUAGUAUUCUUUGGGAUUAGCUUACCACUUAAUAAAUUCCUUCCAACACUAUCUUCUGUGAGUCAACAAACAGCUUCCUCCUGUGAUUUGGGCCUGGCUAACAACAAGUUAGACUUCAGACGAAUAAUUACUAGGCUGAGGCAUUUUCCAGGUGGUACAUUCCCACUUUGAGGAAACUUGGUCAUUUUACUUUUGCAUUUAAGAUGUCCUUAGGCUGAAAAUAAAGUGUCAGUGUUUGAAAUGUCCUUCUCUGUAUCAUUGACUUGAUUUUUAGAUAAUAUUUCAGGCUGGACUGACACCAAAAGUGCUUUUCAAAAACACAUGAAAAGACCAAAAUUAUUUAAAUAAUUUACAAUAUAUGAAAGGUAGUAAAUUCUAGGCAAACAUUUUAACUAGGUUUUUAUGGAGAACUGACAGUGAGUAGCUUUGUGCUGAACCCUGUGUAAGGCAUUAAAUGAUGCACUCGUGUAAUUAUUUUCCCUAAAUUAAUGCCUGUCCCUGACACAUCUUAGACUUUUCCACCCUUGCCCUAAAUAACUUAAUUAAAAAAAAAAAUUCUCCCAGCUAAUUUGCUGACAUAUAGUCACCACUGAUUUUGUCACAUGUUGUUCAAGAGAGUGAGUACAUUCUGAAAUUAGACAGCUUACAGUGUCAGGUAAAAAUUCUUACAAGGCAGAGACAGUUUUUGGAGUUGCAACUAGUUAACUGUGGGCUUCUACUUGAGACAAAAGUGACUUCAUUUUAUUGGAGAAAAUGUCAAUCAAGACGUAACUACUGACACCUGUCUUUGUUUCACCAGCCAGUAAUAAAAGAUAAAGCAGAGGAAAUGGAGGAGCUGCAGUUAUGCGUUUGCAACACACAAAGUCCUUGUUUUCCCACUAGGCGCUGCAGAAAAGCAAUUGUCCAUUCACGGCACAUCCUCUGCAUUUCAGAGCUAAUAUUUUUGCAGUUCUUAACUUAGUACAUUCCAGUCUUAUGCAGUUAAUUUUUUUAACCCUUUGAAAUACACCUCAUGUUUGAAAUCGUGCUUAAUAUUACUGCUAACAUGACCCAGUUUUAAAGCUUUCAGGUUCUCAAUGUUGAGAAUAGAAACUUUAAGAAAAUCGGUUAGAAAUUUUGGAACAGGGUAAGGAUUUCAAAUAAUCCUGUCUUAUUUGCUAUUGCAUAACUUUGAGAAGGGUAAUAGGGAAAUCCAUGGUAACCAUAUAUUACUUAAAUUGCUGUUACAAAAACCGACUCUUUGGAUAGGAAUGAUUUUUAGCAGGGAUCCUCCUUAAGACAUAAUAAUGUGCCACUGAAAACAACAUUAGCCCUGUAUUGAAUUGCCAAUCUUCCUGCAGCAUUUAGUGUGUUUACUGUAUAUGAAUGCCUAUGCCUGUCUCUGGUGCAAAGAGGUUUACUCUUAUUGCAAUAGUCACUCUGGCUAGAGCACAUGAAGAACAGAAUUUUUAAAUGAUUAAUUAGUCCCCAGGCUCAAUCACUUAAGCCCCUAAUUGAAUAUCUGACUCCAUUUUCAACUAUUGUAGGAAAAGAUAAUUAGCAAAUUUGCAGUGGUAAUAAAG
rnacentral:lncRNA from 1 species